AGGAAAUUGUGCUGCAAUUCCCUGAGAACAAAGUGGUGCUGGCGAGGUGAUCUGGAGGAGCCAGUGAAGGACUCUGAAGUUCUUAAAAAAUCACACUUAAGUCUGGAUCUUGAUGAACUAGUUGCUGGUCCUGCCUCUGCUGCCUUCUUUGCCUCACGGAAGAUGAUGGAUGUAAAAACGCUGAGAAAGCCUGGGCAACAUGGCGAAACCCUGUCUCUAAAAAAAAAUUGCA
rnacentral:lncRNA from 1 species